UAAUACGUAGGGUGCGAGCGUUAAUCGGAAUUACUGGGCGUAAAGGGUGCGCAGGCGGUCUCGUAAGCUGGGUGUGAAAGCCCCGGGCUUAACCUGGGAAUGGCAUUCAGGACUGCGAGGCUUUGAGUGCGGCAGAGGGAGGUGGAAUUCCACGUGUAGCAGUGAAAUGCGUAGAGAUGUGGAGGAACACCGAUGGCGAAGGCAGCCUCCUGGGCCAGCACUGACGCUCAUGCACGAAAGCGUGGGGAGCAAACAGGAUUAGAUACCCUGGUAGUCCACGCCCUAAACGAUGUCAACUGGUUGUUGGUGGGGUUAAACCCAUUAGUAACGAAGCUAACGCGUGAAGUUGACCGCCUGGGGAGUACGGCCGCAAGGUUA
rnacentral:rRNA from 1 species